rnacentral:lncRNA from 10 species
UCCUCUUCAAAAUGCAAGAUGUCGAUCAACAUUCAUGCUGUUCCUAUUUCUAUUUUUUUCCUCCCUUCUACCCCUUACUCCUGAAAUGGAUAAGAAGAGGCAAUAAUAGCAUCCCAGCAAAUCAGAACUGGCUCAGAUGCCAAAGGCCUAAAAGAGACGAUCGCAUUAGCAAGAAGGCCUGUGACUAAAAAUCCAAAACCUAAAACUACUAUACGUAAACCUAGGGCUCAAAUAGCCUACACUACUGUGACAUCAGAAGCAUUAUUUCUCAAGAUUGAGAAGGGCUAGUGAAAACGCUUCUGGGCCUGCAAAGCUGUGAACUGAUGUGCAAGGCUGCAGUAGCCCAAGCUGAUCCUGAUGAACACUGGAGCUGUCUCUGCCUCUUUAUGUAAAUAGAAAAUGUUCCUAAUAAACGUGUACUAGGUCGUUGUCGGUAAACACAUGUUAGGCACCCGCUUGGCCUGCACCGAUCUGACCAGAUCUAUUUCCAUUUCCCCGAACCAUCGCUUGGAUGAUGAAGCACAUCGCAGAGUACUGCUUCAUCACCAUUCAGGAAUUGUACCCUUUUAAAUUUCUAUAUGGGUAUGCGCUGCUUUUGACACAGCUUUUGUUGUAAGCAGGCACUAAAAUAGAAGCUUAUAAUUAGCUAUCUGGGGAGGCAAGUGUGUGGUAGAACAGAGCUCAGCAAGAGAAAAGUCAAGGCAGGUCCUGGGGAAACACUGCAUGGAAGAUGAGUAAUACAGAGCCCAAGAGUGGAUUGGCAGGAAGGGUGCAGGACCUAACCCAAUGACAAUGCUCGCAGGAGGAGCCCUCCAGAAGGCAACAGCUCCAAACCUCUUGGUACAAAGGAACUCUCUACGUUUAGUUCUCUCGACAACUACCUACUAUAAGAUGAAGUUUCCAGGAACUCAUGUGAUCAUGAGACUCUGCAGUCACUUCAGGGGGUCUUGUUGACUGGCUCGGGGGGCUGGUGUCAAGCCCAAGCAGAAGAGCCCUCAGAGCAAGCAGCCCUGCUUCUGUGGAUGCUGGAUGGCAUCAUCACCAGGCGGGUCCUUCAGAGUACUGGGAGCAGCAUGCAGCCCGAUAGAGUUGGCAAACGUGAAUCUACUAGAAGAUUGACAUGGAGAUCGACAACAGGAUGGUGGACCUCAUGGCCCACACGGCCUCUAAGGAAUAAGACCCCCAGACCACUAGCCCCAGCAAAAACACAAGAGGAAGAGAGAGGCCCUCAGCUGCUGGUGAGUCCCUGACGUGUCCAGUUCCCUGCCACACUGAGAAUCUCCCCUCCCCGCAAUUUCCAUGCAGACCCCCUGAAAAGGGAAGGGCCUUGGAAGCCCCACCUUGUCAUCUACCAUCAAUAAAGUCCCCUAUGCUCAGCCAAAAAAAGAAAAAAAAAUUUUUCCUAAUUCUAAAAAGUGUUUGCAGAUUAUAAAAAUUCACAUAAGAUGGCCAGGCGCGGUGGCUCACGCCUGUAAUCCCAGCACUUUGGGAGGCCGAGGCAGGUGGAUCACAAGGCCCGUCUCUACUAAAAAUACAAAAAUUAGCCGGGCAUGGUGGCAGGUGCCUGUAGUCCCAGCUACUCAGGAGGCUGAGGCAGGAGAAUCACUUGAACCCGGGAGGCGGAGGUUGCAGUGAACCAAGACCACGCCAUUGCAUUCCAGCCUGGGUGACAGAGUGAGACUCCAUCUCAAAAAAAAAAAAAAAAAAAAAAUUCACAUAAGAUGAAAAAAACAAAAAGACCAUGAAAAUCAAAGUGAAGAAAGAACAAGGGCCCAUAAGUAUGAUGAAGCCAGGAAGCAUUAGUAGAGAGAAAUGAAUGCAUGAGAUAAGGGGUUCAUGAUUAUUAAAGGUGCUUCACUUAAUUAGACUCUGAGCUUCUUAGUGCCCUAAACAAAGAGGGAAACAUGACUAGUUACAGGAUGUAUGCUGUCCUUAAGGUACAGCUGUUGUUGAGCUACAGUAUUACUCAGUGUCUUCUGUAGGAGAACAAAUAAUCCGUGUCAGGACAACAGCUAAUAAGUUUUUACCUUAAGGACUCUGACACUGGGACUGUUGGUUCUCCUAUAGAAGACACUGAGUAGUACUGUAGCCCGAACUCUCAUAAUACCAUGAUAAAUACAACCCUGAGUAUCAAAUUACCUUUUUAAAUAUAACAUCCCUCAAUACAAUCCAAAGGUAUAUAAGGGCUUAUGACUCCAGAACAACCCCAAGGGAUGAAGUACAGCAGAAAAUACAAACAUCACCUCUCAUAAUGGAGCUAAGAGCAUACAAAUCACCUUUUCUAGUUUUUUUCUCUGCCUCAAUCACUGCCUUAUCCGAGUUGAUCCCUUUAAUUUGAAGAAUUUAGUUGUAUUAAAUUCAAAUUGUUUAUAUUUAUUGAAACAUUAUCUUCUACUUUAUCCCCCCAAAUUGUAUAACAUUUCCUUUGUUACAUGUUUUUACAAGCGAUCUAAAACUUUCUGUAUAUAUUACCUCCCUAACUAUAAACUCCUCAAGGGCAAUGACAAUUUAUAUAUUUCAGUCAACAAUAAAUGUUAACUAAGAAAUUGAUGGUAGAGAAGAAAAUAUGACAUAAACAUAAGCGUUGUGAUACUAUCAUGGGUAGCAUAACAUUCACAUUAAAAUAGAAAAAUAGGGCCGGGUGUGGUGGCUCACGCCUGUAAUCCCAGCACUUUGGGAAGCCGAGGAGGGCGGAU